UACGAAGGGGGCUAGCGUUGUUCGGAUUUACUGGGCGUAAAGCGCACGUAGGCGGAUCGUUAAGUCGGGGGUGAAAUCCUGGAGCUCAACUCCAGAACUGCCUUCGAUACUGGCGAUCUCGAGUCCGGAAGAGGUGAGUGGAACUCCUAGUGUAGAGGUGGAAUUCGUAGAUAUUAGGAAGAACACCAGUGGCGAAGGCGCUCACUGGUCCGGUAACUGACGCUGAGGUGCGAAAGCGUGGGGAGCAAACAGG
rnacentral:rRNA from 1 species